GACGAACGCUGGCGGCGUGCUUAACACAUGCAAGUCGAACGGAAAGGCCCUGCUUUCGUGGGGUGUCCGAGUGGCGAACGGGUGAGUAACACGUGAGUAACCUGCCCUUGACUUUGGGAUAACUUCAGGAAACCGGGGCUAAUACCGGAUAGGAGCUCCUGCUGCAUGGUGGGGGUUGGAAAGCUUCGGCGGUUGGGGAUGGACUUGCGGCUUAUCAGCUUGUUGGUGGGGUAGUGGCUUACCCAGGCAUUGGCGGGUAGCCGGCCUGAGAGGGUGACCGGCCACAUUGGGACUGAGAGACGGCCCAGACUCCUACGGGAGGCAGCAGUGGGGAAUAUUGCACAAUGGGCGGAAGCCUGAUGCAGCAACGCCGCGUGCGGGAUGACGGCCUUCGGGUUGUAAACCGCUUUCGCCUGUGACGAAGCGUGAGUGACGGUAAUGGGUAAAGAAGCACCGGCUAACUACGUG
rnacentral:rRNA from 1 species